rnacentral:misc_RNA from 1 species
UGAAGAUAUAAGUGUAGUUACAAUAGUGGGCAUGGGAGGGGUAGGAAAAACCACCCUUGCUCAGCUGGUGUACAAUGAUGUAAGAGUGAAGGAACAAUUUGACCUUCAAGUGUGGAUUUAUGUUUCAGCGGAACAUGAUAUAUUCGGGGUAACGAAGACAAUUCUUGAUGCAGUCACUUUGUCGACCAGCCGUAUCAAGGACUUCAAUCUUCUUCAACUUGAACUCAAGGAGAUGUUAACAGAUAGAAAAUUUCUACUUGUUCUUGACGAUGUUUGGAAUGAGAAUUAUAUUGAAUGGGAGGCGCUGCUGAUUCCAUUUAAAUCAGUGGCGCGGGGAAGUAAGAUUAUUGUGACAACACGAAAUGAAAGAGUUGCUUCUGUCAUGCGCUCUGUAUCAACUCUUCAUCUGCAGCAGUUAUCUGAUGAAGAUUGCUGGUUGUUAUUUGCAAAACAUGCA